rnacentral:tRNA from 1 species
GGCUCCGUAGCUCAACUGAAUAGAGCACUUGACUACGGAUCAAGAGGUUCAAGGCUUGAAUCCUUGCGGAGUCACUA